rnacentral:tRNA from 1 species
GGCGGGGUGGGGAAGCCUGGUUGUUCCCGCGGGCCUCAUAAGCCCGAGGUCGCCGGUUCGAAUCCGGCUCCCGUCA